GACCGCACCAGAAAAAAACCCUAACUCCACUCUAACUCAAAAAAUCAACCGCUUCUAAAAAAUUCAACCCAGCGAUUCAACUUCGGAUCCCAACGGUACGUUCCCUACCUCUUGCGAUUCCUCUCCUAUGAACAAACUAGUUUUUCUUUUAGAGAUCUUUCACUGUAUUGUUGUUGCAAGCAAAUCGAAAAUAAGGACAUAAAUUCAUUUGUUCAUAUCAUAUUAUGGUGUCUUUGUGUUGUUACAGUCAAGUCUCACUCAGUAAGUUUGAUGAAAUCUAGGGUUUUCUUGUGUGAUACACCAAUUUGCGUUUGAGAACGUGAAUUACCAUGAAUUUUCCAUACUUGUGUUUCUUUGUAAUUGGAGUCAUUCUGAUAAAAGAUGGUUAACAGAAGAAGAAUAGUGGUUUCUGUUAAUGGGUUCCAAGAAAAUGAUGGAGAAAACGCCCAGUUGUUUAUAGUUAGAUAUGCACAGUGGUGCUGAAGUGAAAUGGCUAGUUGGGUUGUUAAUGGGCUUGCAAGGUCAAUUUAUUUGAAUUUGAGUUGAAAGACUCGGGGGGAGUUCUUGAUACACGAUGAUAGAGACCACUGCUAUGGGUGGUGGUUCGGUUGCAAAGCGACCAUUGAGAAAGAGAGCGGUUUCGCGGAAUUAUGAUGAGAAUUUGAUGGAUGACCUCAUAGAUAAGCAUUUGGGUGCUUCUCUGAGGAAAAGGAACAGAACUAAGGAAGAUUUGGAGAAAGAAACUGAAACUGAGGCAAUGAUUGCUCUUUCUCUGGGCUUUCCGAUUGAUGCAUUGCUGGAAGAGGAAAUUCAAGCCGGGGUUGUGGAGGAAUUGGGUGGGAAAGAGCAAAAUGAUUAUAUUGUUGUGAGGAACCAUAUUCUUGCAAAGUGGAGGGAUAAUGUACGGAUGUGGCUCUCAAAAGGACAGAUAAAGGAAACAGUGAGUAGUGAGUAUGAACAUUUGAUAUAUUCAGCUUAUGACUUUCUUUUACACAACGGUUAUAUAAAUUUUGGGGUUUCGCCGGCGUUCACGUCCCAAAUUCCAGAGGAUGCUACUGAAGGGUCUGUAAUAAUUGUUGGUGCUGGCCUUGCUGGAUUAGCGGCAGCAAGGCAACUCUUGUUGUAUGGUUUCAAGGUCGUUGUACUUGAAGGUAGGAAUCGACCUGGGGGAAGAGUUUAUACUCAGAAGAUGGGACGUAAAGGUAACUAUGCUGCCGUAGAUCUUGGUGGCAGUGUUAUAACAGGUAUUCAUGCCAAUCCUCUGGGAGUUUUGGCUAGACAACUCUCCAUUCCUCUUCAUAAGGUUAGAGAUAAAUGCCCACUGUACAAGCCUGACGGUACACUUGUUGAUCACAAAAUUGAUUCCAAUGUUGAGCUCAUCUUUAAUAAGCUACUUGACAAAGUCACCGAAUUGAGACAAAUAAUGGGUGGAUUUGCAAAUGAUAUCUCUUUGGGUACAGUUUUGGAGACACUUAGACAAUUGUAUGCGGUGGCUAGAAAUACUGAAGAAAGACAACUUCUUGAAUGGCAUUUUGCCAACUUGGAAUAUGCCAAUGCCGGAUGCUUGUUGAAUCUAUCUGCUGCCUAUUGGGAUCAGGAUGAUCCUUAUGAGAUGGGAGGUGAUCAUUGCUUUCUUGCUGGUGGAAAUUGGAGACUAAUUAAAGCAUUGUGCGAGGGAGUCCCCAUUUUUUAUGGAAAGACUGUUCAUACUAUUAGAUAUGGAAAUGAAGUUGUUGAGGUCCUUGCUGGGGACCAAAUGUUUCAAGCAGAUAUGGUGCUCUGCACUGUGCCUCUUGGGGUUCUGAAGAAAAAGACUAUCAGAUUCGAACCAGAGUUACCUGCAAGAAAGCUUGCAGCUAUUGAAAGAUUGGGUUUUGGGUUGUUGAAUAAGGUUGCAAUGGUGUUCCCUUAUGUUUUUUGGGGGGAAGACCUGGACACAUUUGGCUGUCUUAAUGAGUAUAGCCAUAAAAGGGGAGAAUUUUUUUUGUUUUACAGUUACCACACUGUUUCUGGAGGUCCAGUACUUAUUGCACUGGUAGCCGGGGAAGCUGCACAAUCUUUUGAAUACAUGGAUCCAUCCAGUUUGCUUCAUCAUGUUUUAAGCAUCCUCAGAGGUAUAUACAGUCCAAAGGGCAUUGAUGUACCUAAUCCUGUACAAACUAUAUGUACAAGAUGGGGCAGUGAUCCGCUUUCGCAUGGUUCGUACUCUCAUGUCAGAGUACAAUCAUCUGGCAGUGAUUAUGAUGUACUUGCAGAAAGCGUGGGGAGCCGGCUGUUCUUUGCUGGUGAAGCUACGAAUCGGCAACACCCAGCCAGCAUGCAUGGUGCCUUCUUGAGUGGUUUAAGAGAAGCUUCAUGCAUUUUCCGAGCCAUGAGGACUCGGCCAAGUGAUCCUAGGAAGUCCAUACAAAAGAGUGUUGGUCCAAAUACUGAUAUUCUAGUAAAACUGUUCAGGAAGCCUGAUCUAGCAUUUGGAAAGUUCUCGUUUAUAUUUUAUCCUUCGACAGAGGACCCGAAAUCAAUGGGGCUUGUGAGGGUUACCUUUGGAAAGUCCAGUAGUGAAUUUAGCAGCGAGGAUUGUAACAAAAGGGAGACAGAGAACAGCUGUCAACAUUCUUUAAGCCAACCACUGCAGCUUUAUACGGUAUUAUCUCGUGAACAGGCAUAUCAGUUACAAUUGGUGACUGGAGGGGAUAAGAGUAGAUUAUCAUUUUUAUUAGAAAAUCUUGGCUUGAAGCUAAUGGGAGCUAAUGCUUUAGGACUCUUGGGUAACUCCUUGACCGCUAACAUUGCCAGUGCACGAAGAGGCAGGGGCAGGAAUCGCGUGUCUGUUGGACAACAAAAUACUUUCUUGACAAGCUACAAUUCUUAAUGGAUUGGCUUUCAGGCACUUGCUUCAUUAGCAUGGAUAAUUCUGAAGCAAGCACACACUUUCAUGGAAGGAUACUGAAAGGUUGGCUUUCCAUUGCUUCUUAGGUGCACUCUUUUUGUGUGAAUCUAACCUAGGUGCUUAUACGGUGACUCGGCAAGAAAUAGAUUACUUGGAGGUGACUUCGGUAGGCCAUUGUUUUGUCUACUAUGAAAUUUUUGUUGAUUCUGGCAGUGACCAAUAUAGCCAAAAAGGGUUGGGGUGGUAGAAGCCUAUAUCCCCAGAAGUAGCUUUUAUUAGUUGGGAUGAAGCAUUUUGAGAAGAAUGCAAGUAGCUCUGCAUGGAUUCUUGGUAAUUUCAUUUAGUGAUUUUACCCACACACAGAAAUUGGUUCCUUUCGAGAUUUACAUGGAUAGCUCAUUUGUUUUGUCUACUGUGGAGCUUUUGUUGAAUUUGCAGUGACAAUAAGCUGUUUAACUCUGGAACCAGAACACUGUUAGUUGAUUAUAUAGCAAUAGAUGUUGAGUGGGUCAAAUAUUAUAUCUGCUGAAGCGGGAGGAAGCCUCAAGAAGAAUCCGUGGAGUUUGUUCUGCAUGGUCUUGGCAAUGUCAUGCCUGUAUCCGUGAAGGAUAUAUAGAGUGGUGUUGGAGAGGUGGUUGUUCAUGGCCAAGAACGAGGAAGAUGCAGGACGGUGCUUCUCUUUGGUUUUUGUGGCGAGGCAAUGUGCAGAUGGUUUGUUUCUGGCAUAAUAUUUGUUGCAUUAAUACUCCUACAAAAAAUAGUUCCUGGUCUUGCUAGUAGCAUGAUGGGUAAAUAUGUUUUUGUGCCAAAUUAUAUGUUCGGAUCAAAUAAACAGUGUGUGGGAUCGUUGAUUUGUCAGAGCAGUGGAUGGAGCAGGAGUGAGUCUGCUGAUGGUUUCUUUGACAUGAAUGUGGUUCCUCUGCAAGUUGGGGAGAAUUGUGGUGGUGGUAAGCUGCAAAACUGAUAUCUAUUGGUUACCAACGGGCUAGUGGCCCAGCGGUAUCAGUCUCUUACUUUCCAAAGGGAGAUCAGGGUUCAAGUCCAAAAGAGACAAGUGUGUGUGAAUACCAACUAGGAAAAAAAGAUAUUUAUUGGUUAGUACUUGCUAUAAGUAUUUUAUGUGGAGGAGUGAUGCUUCUUUUCCUUGGAAAGUAUUUGGUUAUCCAGGUUCUGUGUUCUAAAAUUUCAUUCUUUGUUUUGUAUGGCCUUGAAGAAAACUCUCAUAAUUGGCAACACUAAGAGGGGAAAGUUUUGGAUUAAUUUUUGUUGUCAAUCAUAUUUUUUUUACAGGCAAUGUGUUAGAGGAGGGUCUUGUCAGUUGUCAUACAUUGGCUCCGAAUGGGAAAGAUCUUAGGCUCAUAAGGUCGGAAAAGCAGUACCUACCAAGGAGAAUGUUUUGGCUUAAUUCUUUAAUUGUUUCUUAAUACAGGGUUGUUCUUUAACUUUACAUUAGUAAAUAUGGUAGUACACUCACCUCUAAUUACUGCUC